rnacentral:rRNA from 1 species
AUUGAACGCUGGCGGCAUGCCUUACACAUGCAAGUCGAACGGUAACAGGUCUUCGGAUGCUGACGAGUGGCGAACGGGUGAGUAAUACAUCGGAACGUGCCUAGUAGUGGGGGAUAACUACUCGAAAGAGUGGCUAAUACCGCAUGAGAUCUACGGAUGAAAGCAGGGGAUCGCGAGACCUUGUGCUACUAGAGCGGCCGAUGGCAGAUUAGGUAGUUGGUGGGAUAAAAGCUUACCAAGCCGACGACCUGUAGCUGGUCUGAGAGGACGAUCAGCCACACUGGGACUGAGACACGGCCCAGACUCCUACGGGAGGCAGCAGUGGGGAAUUUUGGACAAUGGGCGCAAGCCUGAUCCAGCAAUGCCGCGUGCAGGAUGAAGGCCUUCGGGUUGUAAACUGCUUUUGUACGGAACGAAAAGCCCCGGGUUAAUACCCUGGGGUCAUGACGGUACCGUAAGAAUAAGCACCGGCUAACUACGUGCCAGCAGCCGCCGUAA